rnacentral:rRNA from 1 species
UGAGGGGGGCUGCUCCUAGUACGAGAGGACCGGAGUGGACGCAUCACUGGUGUUCGGGUUGUCAUGCCAAUGGCACUGCCCGGUAGCUAAAUGCGGAAAAGAUAAGUGCUGAAAGCAUCUAAGCACGAAACUUGCCCCGAGAUGAGUCUUCCCUGAGACUUUGAGUCUCCUGAAGGAACGUUAAAGACGAUGACGUUGAUAGGCCGGGUGUGUAAGCGCAGCGAUGCGCUGAGCUAACCGGUACUAAUGAACCGUGAGGCUUAACCUU